CCUUGUUGGAAUUAACAUUUUCACUGGCAGAAAACAUGAAGAUAUCUGUCCCUCUACUCACAACAUGGAUGUUCCAAAUAUUAAGAGAAAUGAUUAUCAAGGUGCAGUUCCCUCCUUUUUGAGGUUUCCAUUCAUUAUCCUUUGAAGGACUGGAUUUGUGGAAAGUAUUCUACUGAAGAUGCCAUGUACAAAUUACAUCCUGCUAAAACAGCUCAUCUCUGUGCUAUUAAAAUGAAAACCUCUACCAGGAAUCACUUAGAC